AAAGCCAUUCAUGUCAAAAGGAUGGUGGCAUAUGAGAUUCAACCUGGUAGAGGCACACAUGAUUCAAAUCGGGUUGUUUGCUAAUGCAGCUAGUUCAUCUAAGUGGAGAAUGGCAGAAUUUUAUAUUCAACAAAAGCUUUUGUACCAGUGAUAUCACAGGAGCCUGUUCCAUAGCUAUUUCCCAGUGACUUCAUACCCACUCUGCAUUCUGGGCAUCGGGUAGAUUGCAACUCCUGCACUUGGAGACAUGACAGAAUAAGGCUUGAUGGGACAUGAUUCAGGCAGAUUGGGCUUCAGGCAAAACUACCUCCAGUGCGAGAGAUGAAGGUUCCCUGUCGGUUUGAUUGAACAGCUCAUGGACUUGCAAAUUUGAGCUUAAAGUGUUGUCAUUUAUUCAGUAACAGACUCAGUGGUCCAGCCUAACAGAUUUUGUGUGGUGUCAUGGAAGAUAACUCUCUCUCCCACAUCUCCACGAUGUGCUGCUGCAUUAGGCUGACUUUUUUUUCAGGAUGUUGGGAUACACAGGGAGAUGGAUAUAUCCUGUGCCUUGUUCUCCACGCUGCAGUAGAAGGAAGGAACCUGAGGAGAUGAGGAAUUUAAUCUGCUUUGCCAUGCAUGAUAUUUUCUUUGUCGAAAAAUUAUCUCCAUAAUAAAUCAAUUAAAGUGUGUCUUUAAUGAGCCACAGGCAUUGAGAGAAAAAUAUAAGAAUUCUUUCAAAAUAAGACCAGGUUGAGAAGCUCUAAAAGAUACACCCCUUAGAAACAAAAAUAGUUUGGUUUAUGUGCCACCUAUCAAGUUCUUUCUGAGAAAUAUGAAGCUGUCUAUCAAUUAUAUAUAAUCGUGCUGUCACAUACAACAAUGAAAUGCAAAAGGCCAGAAAAUAACAGCACAGAAUAUCAUAAAUAACAUUUAUGUGGCUUAUCUGACCCAAGCCUGAGAUGAUCAAGAGAGAUAUACAGGUCAUUAUCUACAAAUGCUUGUGAAAUUCAUUUUGGUUACAGUGAGGAGGAAACAGGAAGAUAAGUCUCAAAAUAAACUGGAAUUUAAUCCAGGGAUAUUCUGUAGAUUGACAUGAUUCAAGACAGCAAACAUCUUGUGCUCAGUGAAGCCUCAAACAACAUCUAUCAACUUGAUAGAGCUGGUGAUGUUCUUGAGUAAGGUAUCUAAUUACUGAACUUUAUAAAACAGCUUUGCCUUCUCAUCAGUGCAACUAAAUAAGCAUUUCCCUGUAAUACUUGUUUUUUUAUGCUGUGAGAACUGAUCAUAUCAAAAUAUACUAAGUCUGCCAAGAAAGGAGAUUCAUGAAGAACAGCCUUUCCCCUGGAUGAAAGGACCUUAUCUCUAGUGGGCUCUUCACAGGAAAUUGAGGAGGAACUCAGUUUGCAACUCUGCAGAUCAUAGAAAUCAAGGUAUCCUGAAUUCUGUUGUGAACAGAAGGCCAAAAUUUUGGUAUUACUUUACUGGCUUGGGGAAACUCUCUGAAGCUUUAUGAAACCUCUUCAGCAAUGCUUUUUGGCACCCCUGAUUCCAAGUUCUGAGCCUUCUGGCUUUAAAACGGGCCAAACUAUUUUUGUCCAUCAAAGCAGAGGAUUUACUUAAGAGGCUAAGAUUAUGAUCUGGAAAACUGAAAUCAUGAUCAGCUGAUUCAGCAGCUUAUUCAGGUAACAGUUGCCUUCAGUGCCCGGCCAAGCCAUCACUUGUCUGUUGAUGACGCAGUUUCCCUCUGGUGCUGCCUCUCCUCUGGCAAAGCAAAGUUUUUUGCACUUUCCAAUUACAGUCAGGGCUGCCACAAUUCCAAGGCUGCCAUCUAGACACUCCUCCAGAAUAUGUUUCUUUAGUGCCAUGGCAGUUUUCCAGCUUUUUCCCCUGCCUCCCUUCAUUUGUUUUGUUAAGCUGCUUGGUUAUACCAAAGUUAAAAACCUUUCUGACCCCCAAACCC